UUGUAUUAUGUUAACUCCAAAACUUAAUCAGUUGUAGAUGAAUGAUUACUUACUGAGACCUUCACUAAAUCUGUCCUGUGGCUCAUGAGAUGUUUUGCUAACAGACAGACGGCAUUAACUAACACUUAUUGGCAAAGUUUGAAUCAAAGAUGAACAACAUACAGUGCUCAGUGUUAUUGUUUUGAAUGAUUCUCAGCCACUAAAAUACUCAUUUUAGCUCAAUACCUGUGACAUUGUCCGAGCUGAUACACGUAAUUUAUUCUAAGCAGUUAGAAAACAGUUUUAUUCAGAUCCUGGGAGACAAAGAGUUCAAUCCCAGCAGACAAGGCUCCAUUGUCCUCAGGAGCUGGUCCUGCUGAAACCCAGCAGAUCCUAACAGCAGCAUAUAGACUCAUAUACAGUCCAACACUUUCUUACAGCUGCAACCUCGAGACUUUCAGUCCAAUGCAGAGAAGCACUUGGUGAAUCCACUCUGGAUGAGUGAAGGGAGCAGAGCUCCAAGUUAAACACAGCCCGUCAUUUCUUCAUCCACGGUCCUCACAAAGACACUAUUCAACACACAACUGCUGUGUGUCAUAAUCGGAGCCAGGCCCUGGCUUUUCUUUUGUAUCUGCCUCUGGAUGUUGUGUUUAUUUUAGGAACCAGCUGAGUUUGGAGCCACAGAUGAUGGACACGGAGUUUCUUUGAGUCAGACGGAUCUACAGCUCUUCUUACAGAACCUCCUGGGUCUCUGAGCAAGUAAACGAGAUACCUUGAAACCACCCAAGGAGAGAGGGAGACCAGGAAGAGAACUCAGAGUCUGUCUCAGGAUCUCACUUCAUCUCAGCACCAAGACAUACUGAAGAUAUAUCAAGAACAUGAUGGAAAUCAUCGAAACCUUUUGGCUGUUCAUUCUCCUGAACCAGCUGCUGCUGAUAGAUUCGACGUCUACAGAUCAGUCCCUUUUAACCACAAACACAUCCCAAACCGGUGACUAUAGUGACAGGGACAGAUCUGUGGUCUUCACAAAUGAAAGCUACCAGAACUCUGAUAACAGCACCGUUGUUCCUCGUGGUGACUGCCUGAUUGACACAGAGAUGGGUCUAAUUGCCAUUGGUUCAGCAGGAGGACUCAUUUUCUGUUUGCUGGUUGCCACCUUCAUAUUAGCAUGUCAAGUCUGCAUCCUUCAGCGUCGGGUCUAUGCCCCUCCAACGUCACUGUCCAACAUGGACUUGGUGAGUGAUGCGCAGUACUGGAGCACAGACCAAGCAGAGACCAGAGGACUAGUUGGACCAUGUGAUACUGAUGUCAUGCUUGAAGAGGUGAGAGUAGAAAGCAAGUCAAAAGGAAAAAAGCAAGCUGAGCUACCAGAGGAGGCUGAUGGAGGACGACAGGAAGGGUCAACAGCUAAAUCUUCUGAUCCUGAAGAAAAGGUAAUGCACAUCCAAAGUUCUAGUUCCAGGGAUUCCUGUUUGGAGGUUCCCAAGGACUUAGAGGACAUGCCCCUUGUUGUCUAAAGAAGAACCCCAUCAAUCCAGGCUUUCUGUAGCAUCUACUUACAGUAUCUAAUGAGAAAUUUAAUGUGCUAACACUAAUUAAAUGUAUGUGUCAACCAAACAGAAUCAAAUCUUCAUUUUAUAUC